rnacentral:rRNA from 1 species
ACCUGCCCUAUGAUUAAAAAUUAAAUGGCUGCGGUAUUUUGACCGUGCAAAGGUAGCAUAAUAAUUAGUUUUUUAAUUGGGAACUGGUAUGAAAGGUCGAACGAGAAAGAGACUGUCUCAAUUUAAUUUAAAUUAGAAUUUUAUUUUUAAGUAAAAAAGCUUAAAUAUAUUUAAAAGACGAGAAGACCCUAUAGAGUUUUAUAUUAAGAUAAUUAUACGGGAAAUUAAAGGAUUAGUUUUUUUUUAUAAUUAUUAAAAUAUUUGGUUGGGGCGAUUAAAAAAUUUAAUGAACUUUUUUUAAAUUAUAACAUUGAUUUAUGAAUAAGUGAUCCAUAUUUAAUGAUUAUAAGAUUA